rnacentral:rRNA from 1 species
AAAGCCUCUAAGCAUCAGGUAACAUCAAAUCGUACCCCAAACCGACACAGGUGGUCAGGUAGAGAAUACCAAGGCGCUUGAGAGAACUCGGGUGAAGGAACUAGGCAAAAUGGUGCCGUAACUUCGGGAGAAGGCACGCUGAUAUGUAGGUGAAGCGACUUGCUCGUGGAGCUGAAAUCAGUCGAAGAUACCAGCUGGCUGCAACUGUUUAUUAAAAACACAGCACUGUGCAAACACGAAAGUGGACGUAUACGGUGUGACGCCUGCCCGGUGCCGGAAGGUUAAUUGAUGGGGUUAGCGGUAACGCGAAGCUCUUGAUCGAAGCCCCGGUAAACGGCGGCCGUAACUAUAACGGUCCUAAGGUAGCGAAAUUCCUUGUCGGGUAAGUUCCGACCUGCACGAAUGGCGUAAUGAUGGCCAGGCUGUCUCCACCCGAGACUCAGUGAAAUUGAACUCGCUGUGAAGAUGCAGUGUACCCGCGGCAAGACGGAAAGACCCCGUGAACCUUUACUAUAGCUUGACACUGAACAUUGAGCCUUGAUGUGUAGGAUAGGUGGGAGGCUUUGAAGUGUGGACGCCAGUCUGCAUGGAGCCGGCCUUGAAAUACCACCCUUUAAUGUUUGAUGUUCUAACGUUGGCCCCUGAUCGGGGUUGCGGACAGUGUCUGGUGGGUAGUUUGACUGGGGCGGUCUCCUCCUAAAGAGUAACGGAGGAGCACGAAGGUUGGCUAAUCCUGGUCGGACAUCAGGAGGUUAGUGCAAUGGCAUAAGCCAGCUUGACUGCGAGCGUGACGGCGCGAGCAGGUGCGAAAGCAGGUCAUAGUGAUCCGGUGGUUCUGAAUGGAAGGGCCAUCGCUCAACGGAUAAAAGGUACUCCGGGGAUAACAGGCUGAUACCGCCCAAGAGUUCAUAUCGACGGCGGUGUUUGGCACCUCGAUGUCGGCUCAUCACAUCCUGGGGCUGAAGUAGGUCCCAAGGGUAUGGCUGUUCGCCAUUUAAAGUGGUACGCGAGCUGGGUUUAGAACGUCGUGAGACAGUUCGGUCCCUAUCUGCCGUGGGCGCUGGAGAACUGAGGGGGGCUGCUCCUAGUACGAGAGGACCGGAGUGGACGCAUCACUGGUGUUCGGGUUGUCAUGCCAAUGGCACUGCCCGGUAGCUAAAUGCGGAAGAGAUAAGUGCUGAAAGCAUCUAAGCACGAAACUUGCCCCGAGAUGAGUUCUCCCUGAGACUUUAAGUCUCCUGAAGGAACGUUGAAGACGACGACGUUGAUAGGCCGGGUGUGUAAGCGCAGCGAUGCGUUGAGCUAACCGGUACUAAUGAACCGUGAGGCUUAACCUUACAAC